UGGGGAAUAUUGCACAAUGGGCGCAAGCCUGAUGCAGCAACGCCGCGUGUGGGACGACGGCCUUCGGGUUGUAAACCUCUUUUGGCAGGGAAGAAGCGAAAGUGACGGUACCUGCAGAAAAAGCACCGGCUAACUACGUGCCAGCAGCCGCGGUGAUACGUAGGGUGCAAGCGUUGUCCGGAAUUAUUGGGCGUAAAGAGCUCGUAGGCGGUUUGUCGCGUCUGCUGUGAAAACCCGAGGCUCAACCUCGGGCCUGCAGUGGGUACGGGCAAACUAGAGUGCGGUAGGGGAGAUUGGAAUUCCUGGUGUAGCGGUGGAAUGCGCAGAUAUCAGGAGGAACACCGAUGGCGAAGGCAGAUCUCUGGGCCGUAACUGACGCUGAGGAGCGAAAGCAUGGGGAGCGAACA
rnacentral:rRNA from 1 species